AGGGCGGAUAGGAACCGGGCAGUAUCUGUGUACUGUAUGGGCCGAAAACCGCCAAAAUCACGUGGAGGUUUUAAAGGUCGUAUGUGCUACUGUUUGUGGCAUGUAUAUCACCAAAAUGUCCAACACUU
rnacentral:snoRNA from 1 species